UGGGGAAUUUUGGACAAUGGGCGAAAGCCUGAUCCAGCAAUGCCGCGUGUGUGAAGAAGGCCUUCGGGUUGUAAAGCAUUUUUGUCCGGAAAGAAAACGCCGUGGUUAAUACCCGUGGCGGAUGACGGUACCGGAAGAAUAAGCACCGGCUAACUACGUGCCAGCAGCCGCGGUAAUACGUAGGGUGCAAGCGUUAAUCGGAAUUACUGGGCGUAAAGCGUGCGCAGGCGGUCCGCUAAGACAGAUGUGAAAUCCCCGGGCUUAACCUGGGAACUGCAUUUGUGACUGGCGGGCUAGAGUAUGGCAGAGGGGGGUAGAAUUCCACGUGUAGCAGUGAAAUGCGUAGAGAUGUGGAGAAAUACCGAUGGCGAAGGCAGCCCCCUGGGCCAAUACUGACGCUCAUGCACGAAAGCGUGGGGAGCAAACAGG
rnacentral:rRNA from 1 species